rnacentral:rRNA from 1 species
CAAUAGCGUAUAUUAAAGUUGUUGCGGUUAAAAAGCUCGUAGUUGGAUUUCGGCGGACAGGGGGCGGUUCGAUAUUUGUCGCUACUGCCCCAUUUGUCCGUGUUUUUGGCGGAGGUUUCAGGGUGCUCUUCACCGAGUGUCCUGGGAUGCCGUAAGGUUUACUUUGAAAAAAUUAGAGUGCUCAAAGCAGGCUUUACACGCUUGAAUAUUCGUGCAUGGAAUAAUGGAAUAGGACGUCGUUUCUAUUUUGUUGGUUUUCGGAAAUCGACGUAAUGAUUAACAGGGACAGUCGGGGGCAUUAGUAUUCAGACGACAGAGGUGAAAUUCUUGGACCGUCUGAAGACUAACUACUGCGAAAGCAUUUGCCAAGAAUGUUUUCAUUAA